CUGGUAACCACCAAUCUGUUCUCCAUAUCUAUGUGUUCGUUUGUUUAUCUUCCACAUAUGAGUGAAGUCAUACAAUAAUUGUCUUUCUCCAUCUGACUUAUUUUGCUUAGCAUAAUAACCUCGAGGUCCAUCCAUGUUGUAGCAAAUGGCAAGAUUUCAUCUUUUGUUUUUUUAUGGCUGAGUAGUUUUCCAUUGUAUAUAUACACCACAUCUUCUUUACCCAUUCAUCUGUUGUUGGACACUUAGGUUGCUUCCAAGUCUUGGCUAUUGCAAAUAUUGUUGCAAUGAACAUAGGGGUGGAUAUAUCUUGUCAAAUUAGUCUUUUCAUGUUCUUUGGAUAAAUACCCAGAAGUGGAAUAGCUGGAUUAUAUGAAUUCCUUAAACCAAUUUCCUAAGAUGGUACCAAAAGGACAUUUGGUGGUCAGUAAUUAUUUGCCAGAGAUGAAGACAAAGAAGAAGACACAACAAAAAUAGAUGCAAGAUCAAAACCUCAGUCUGAAAAACUGAAGCCACAACCUGCCUUCAUUGCAUGCUGACUGUAACAUUUUGAUGGUGUGCACAGUUUUUCUCACUCCUUUUUCCUCCUCUUCCUAAUUUGUUUUGAAAUCUAAGAAAUAAAAUGAAAGAGGGUAAUAAAGCAUUUGAUAUACAAAUUUCAAAAUAAAACCAUCAGCCAGGAACAAAUCUUUGAGGAUGUACUUCAUAUCAUAUUCACACUUUUGUUUUCAGGUUACCCAUCCCUUAAACAUUAAUGCAAACAAUAUUAAUCAUGUUGUCUAGGCUGAGAAUGCACUAAGAAUAAUUAAUUCUGCAUUAAACCGAACCCCUAUUACUUAGGCAUUGUAACUAGAAAUCUUUCCGACGAUACCCUUCCCCGACAUCCCACAAAACUCCUCCCUUCAGAGUUAGACCUUGGAGUAGAUGCUCCUUGAUCUUCCCUAAGACAUCAAAAGAAACAUCCGUCCCACCUGGCAUGUGGAUCAUCUCCACCAGUAGAUUCAUAAUUUUCAGGUUUAUAUUCAGUGCCUCCCACCCUGAGUGCAUGGCUGUACUAGAGAGACUGGGAACCCCACAUACUCACCCACUCCUCUCUCACCUCCAGCUCUGACCAUGAAAUUAAUGUUGGGGCUGCUAUGACUUUUUCUCUAGAAUCAGCCCUAACGGGAUCAACCCAUAUUUGUCUCAGUCGAAUUCACCUCCACCCUAUUUUAUUUAUCAAAAAAGUGUUCACCAAAAAGGAUGUCCAACUUAAGGUGAAAAAAAUAUAUAUCACAGCUAAAUGUGGGUUUAAAGCUGAAGAGACUUGAGAUUGAAAAACUGCCAGUUCUUACUGUUCACUUACUCACAGGAGGGUUUACAGCUCCUGAAAUCAUGCCAGGACUUUGAAAAUGAAAGCUUGCAGUUAGAAAAUGAUGGCUCAUGACAGCAAAGAUCAGUCAUGUGAUAGGCCAAGCGUUUUCCGUCACUGCCUUCCUCAAUCAGACAGAGCUCAGAAACAGAGGUUAAUCGGUCAGAUAGCAUCCACAGAGGCUGAGGGCAGCAGAAUCCGGCUGCAGCAAUUAAUCAUUUAAUUGCUUUCUGAUUCACUUUAAAUGUCUUUUAAAAAGAAAUUAAAGAAAAACAUUAUUGAAAGGACAUUUUAGACUAUUUAAUAAAGAUCCAAUAUACCCUUUGUGAACCAGAAAAUGGAUGGAUCUCUAGGCCAACUCUGUUCAAUGUUUUCUUAGGCAACAUUUUCUUAUAUGGAGGAAGAAGGGACAGAGCCUCUGCUCCAGGCAGGAGGAAAAGCAUGUAUAAAAGCACUUAGAAAAGAAAGCAUGGGUGUAAAUAAAAAUAGUUUUUGCUUGUUAGGCUGUUUGUUUUUUUGGCUAAAGAGCAGGAUCUGUGAGAGGGGUUGACAGGAAAGCCUAGAAACAUAGAGAGUAAAUUUUUGAGGGUCUUGAAUGCCAAGGUAAAAGAGCCUGGACUUGAUCUAUUAGGCAAUGGAAGCCAAUGAAGAUUUUUGAGCAGAAAAAACAGCAUGAGUAGGGAAUAGCAUGAACUGUAGGGUCCAUCAGCCCUGGGUUAUGACCCUCACUAGCUGUUAUGAGCACAUUGUAACCUUUUUGGCGCCUCCCAAGCUACACAAAGGGAGUGAUAAUACCAUUCCCAGGGUUAUUUCAACAUUAGAAAUAACACAUAUACUACCACACUCUCACCCCAGUGAGUGUGUGUUACGUAACACAUAUAUGUAACACAUUCACCCCAGAGCUUGGCGCAGAAAAAGCACAUAUUAAAUGGCAUUAGCUGUUACUACUGCUGUGCUCUGGGUAGGAAGGUCAAAGGGGAAGAGAUGGGAGGCAGGAGACCAGAGAGGUCCAAGUAAGAGGUAGAGAGGCUGGACUAGGCAGAGUACAUAUAAGCAAGGAGAGUGGCAAAGAGAAAGUGGCAUAGAAUGCAAGGGCCACUACAAAGGGAAAAUCCAAAGAAAUGGAGACUAAAAACAUUAACUUGUCCAAAGCCAUUUGAUGAUGACUGGACAUGACCAAGGGAGGAGAAGAAGCCACAGAGACUCCAAGAAGCAGGCUGAGAUAAGUAUCACAUAAGUCAGAGAGACACAAACUUCUAUGAGGAUCCAAAAUAAAUAAUAAACGUAUAUAAAUGCCAAACACUGCACUUGAAUUUCUAGAACGACUACAGAAAUAACCAAAACCAUAUUCCUUUCUGCAAUGAUCCCAUCUGAAUUCUUAAUAAUAAGAGCUGCCCUGAGAACAAUUUUCAGAUCCACAGGGCUAGAAGAUUUGGGCCAUCACAUUACUCAGUGUCGUACACCAGGCAAUGUCCUCUUCCCAGACACCAUCACCAUGGCUCACCUUUUCACGUCACCACCGCCACAGACGUCUCCACCAUUUCCUUAGGCACCUCCUCCAGCUUCAUUGUCAUCACUCACUUUAUGAUCCUCUCAACACAAAUACCCGCUGAUAUUCUCCUCAGGCUGGACCUGCCUUCCCCACAAGACUCGCCUGUUUGGACAACAAGUAGAGAAAUACCUGGCACUUCAGAACAGCAGCGCAGCACCUAAUAACUCACUGCACCUGACAUUUUCA
ensembl:lncRNA